rnacentral:rRNA from 1 species
UACGGAGGAUGCGAGCGUUAUCCGGUUUUAUUGGGUUUAAAGGGUGCGUAGGCGGACCAGUAAGUCAGCGGUGAAAUGUCCCGGCUCAACCGGGUCACUGCCGUUGAUACUGCUGGACUGGAGUACAAACGGCGCAGGCAGAAUGUGUCAUGUAGCGGUGAAAUGCAUAGAUAUGACACAGAACACCGAUCGCGAAGGCAGCUUGCGAGCAUGGUACUGACGCUGAGGCACGAAGGCGCGGGUAUCAAAC